rnacentral:rRNA from 1 species
UACAGAGGUCUCAAGCGUUGUUCGGAUUCAUUGGGCGUAAAGGGUGCGUAGGUGGCGCGCUAAGUCAGGUGUGAAAUUUCGGAGCUUAACUCCGAAACUGCAUUUGAUACUGGCGUGCUUGAGGACUGGAGAGGAGAGUGGAAUUCCUGGUGUAGCGGUGAAAUGCGCAGAUAUCAGGAAGAACACCCGUGGCGAAGGCGGCUCUCUGGGACGGUACUGACGCUGAGACGCGAAAGCGUGGGGAGCGAACAAG